AACGAACGCUGGCGGCGUGCCUAACACAUGCAAGUCGAGGGAGAAAAGGAGCUUCGGCUCCCCAGUAAACCGGCGCACGGGUGAGAAACACGUAGGUAACGUACCCUGGAGUCCGGGAUAACCAGUCGAAAGACUGGCUAAUACCGGAUACGACCACAGGAGCUCCGGCUUCUAUGGUGAAAGAUGGCCUCUGUUUACAAGCUGUCACUCCUGGAUCGGCCUGCGCACCAUUAGCUAGUUGGUGAGGUAAUGGCUCACCAAGGCUGAGAUGGUUAGCUGGUCUGAGAGGAUGGCCAGCCACACUGGGACUGAGACACGGCCCAGACUCCUACGGGAGGCAGCAGUGGGGAAUUAUUGCGCAAUGGGGGCAAAUCCCUUGACGCAGCGACGCCGCGU
rnacentral:rRNA from 1 species